UACGUAGGUGGCAAGCGUUAUCCGGAAUUAUUGGGCGUAAAGCGCGCGUAGGCGGUUUUUUAAGUCUGAUGUGAAAGCCCACGGCUCAACCGUGGAGGGUCAUUGGAAACUGGAAAACUUGAGUGCAGAAGAGGAAAGUGGAAUUCCAUGUGUAGCGGUGAAAUGCGCAGAGAUAUGGAGGAACACCAGUGGCGAAGGCGACUUUCCGUGUGUAUAACUCUGAUGUGCGAAAGCGUGGGGAUCAAACAGGAUUAGAUACCCCGGUAGUCC
rnacentral:rRNA from 1 species